CGUCGUCCCCUCGCCCCGACACGGGCGCGAACCAGGGACCCUCUGCACACAUCAACAACAGUCAACCACGAAGCGUCGUUACCCAUCGCUCCACAAAAGGCCGCGGCCUUUGUGGAGCGAUGGGUAACGACCGUGCUUCGUGGGCGACCGUUGUUGAUGUGUGCAGAGGGUCCCAGGUACGCGCCCGUGUCUGGGCGAGGGGACGCUGUAAAGUUAUGCUGUUACAUACAGUUGCACGUUUGUAUGAAGGUGUGGUUAUUCACAGGCAAAUUGUUAUAUGCUAUGGAGGUACAUUUGUGUCUUUUUGUCGAAAUCAAAAAUAAUUGUUCUGACAGCUAUUUUUUCCCCGACAGAAAAGGAAGUCAAAGCGGACACCUACGAAGAUGGCAUCUCAGAGAGCAAGCUGUCCAAGGGGGUCGAAAAUGUAGAUAUUGCCAGAUGUUCACUGUGUGAGGAUCAGGCCGUUGAAGAUUUAUUGCUGGCAAAAAGUGUCCCUAACCAGAGGUUAUAUCAGCUGUUUUGUUGAACCUCUCCCGCAUCUGAACUGGCUGACAGAGGGCACAGCCUGAUCAUAGGUAUGUUUUGAUGUGAGAUGAAUCCAGUCCCGACAGCGCAAUUGUGAUGAACUGAGAGAAUAUUAGGGUAGCACUGUCAUUCAUGAAUCAUAUGCUAUCUGCCGCUGUUCUUACCUCUCGCCCCACUUCGUCUUCUAAUGCACACCAUAUGUGCAUUGAAGUACAGAUUUGCCUACCUUUAAAAAAUUUAAACUAGGCAAGUCAGAUAAGAAUGACGGCCUAGGAACUGCCUUGUUCAGGGGCAGAAGGACAUAUUUUUACCUUGUCGGCUUGGGGACUCGAUCUUGCAACCUUCCGGUUACUAGUCCACCUGCCCGCCCAAGAUUGAACUUGUAUUUAUAAUAUUACAAUUAAAAUGCACUUCUUUCAAUAAAGUGUUUCACAUUCUCCACUGGUUGAAAUACUAUCCUGUGUCCGUCCUCUGAUUAAUGGAGUUAAAUGUGCAUAGGUUUUUUUCUCUCUGUAUAUAUGAAUUACAGAUCAAUCAUGUUUAGUCUAUUGUAUAGUUACAAUGUGUAAUCAUUGAUAUCCCAGGAGCAGUAAACACUGUUGAAGUGUAUAAUUGUAAUACAUGCAGACACCGCAUCAUUUAAAUAAUGGUGUUUGAUAUGACUGAAAAAUACAGUCAUACCUGAACCGCACCUUUAUUUGCCAAGGAAGAGUACAUGAUCGGUGAAUAUAUUCAAUGUACAGGCUACAAUGUGGUGGUAACUACAGUCUUGCAUCCUUGGCACAUUAAAGUUAUAUUCAACUCUAGGCUUCAUUAAUGCCAUUCAGACUUGAGGUUCAUAGACUGGUAUGAAUAUUAGUUAAGAACUGUACGUUUUAGGGUCCAUACCCAAAUCGGCUACAUAGAUAUUUUUAACCCGACACAAUAAGCAAGUAAAUAGCUAGCUAGCUAGCUAUGUUACUUCAGCUGCAUUGCAAGGCAAGCUUACACAAUUGUGCAGUCAAUGCGUUUGUCUCUACAUUAACACAUUCCUCUCAAAUUCUACAUUUGCUUGACUCGUUAAGACGUCAGCCAUCUUCGUUGAGCGCCACAAGGCAAGGGUAGCUCGCGUCUUUAAAUCUGCGUAUUCCUCCAAAGCUCAGCUGUCCUGAGUCUGCACAGGACCUAGGAUCAAGAGACACUUAAGUGUUUUAGUACUAUAUCUCUUGACAUAAUGAUGAAAAUAAUAAUGGCCUCUAAACCUUCAAGCUGCAUACUGGACCCUAUUCCAACUAAACUACUGAAAGAGCUGCUUGCUUUGCUCAGCCCUCCUAUGUUGAACAUAAUAAACGGCUCUCUAUCCACCGGAUGCGUACCAAACUCACUAAAAGUGGCAGUAAUAAAGCCUCUCUUGAAAAAGCCAAACCUUGACCCAGAAAAUAUAAAAAACUGUCAGCCUAUAUCCAAUCUUGCAUUCCUCUCAAAAAUGUUAGAAAAAGCUGUUGCGCUGCAACUCACUGCCUUCCUGAAGACAAACAAUGUAUACGAAAUGCUUCAGUCUGGUUUUAGAUCCCAUCAUAGCACUGAGACUGCACUUGUGAAGGUGGUAAAUUACCUUUUAAUGACAUCAGACCGAGGCUCUGCAUCUGUCCUCGUGCUCCUAGACCUUAGUGCUGCCUUUGAUACCAUCGAUCACCACAUUCUUUUGGAGAGAUUGGAAACCCAAAUUGGUCUACACGGACAAGUUCUGGCCUGGUUUAGAUCUUAUCUGUCGAAAAGAUAUGUUUGUCUCUGUGAAUGGUUUGUCCUCUGACAAAUCAACUGUACAUUUCGGUGUUCCUCACGGUUCAGUUUUGGGACCACUAUUGUUUUCACUAUAUAUUUUACCUCUUGGGGAUGUCAUUCGAAAACAUAAUGUUAACUUUCACUGCUAUGCGUAUGACACACAGCUGUACAUUUCAAUGAAACAUGGUGAAGCCCCAAAAUUGCCCUUGCUAGAAGCCUGUGUUUCAGACAUAAGGAAGUGGAUGGCUGCAAACGUUCUACUUUUAAACUCGGACAAAACAGAGAUGCUUGUUCUAGGUCCCAAGAAACAAAGAGCUUCUGUUGAAUCUGACAAUUCAUCUUGAUGGUUGUAAAGUCGUCUCAAAUAAAACUGUGAAGGACCUCGGUGUUACUCUGGACCCUGAUCUCUCUUUUGACGAACAUAUCAAGACUGUUUCAAGGACAGCUUUUUUCCAUCUAC